CUACGGGGCGCUGCAGUGAGGAAUUUUGCGCAAUGGGGGAAACCCUGACGCAGCAACGCCGCGUGAGUGAAGAAGGCCCUUGGGUCGUAAAGCUCUGUCAAUGGGGAAGAAGUUAUUAUGUGUUAAUAGCACAUUUUAUUGACGGUACCCAUGAAGGAAGCACCGGCUAACUCCGUGCCAGCAGCCGCGGUAAUACGGGGGGUGCAAGCGUUAUUCGGAAUUAUUGGGCGUAAAGGGCACGCAGGCGGUCCUGUCAGUCAGAUGUGUAAGCCCGGGGCGCAACCCCGGACGUGCAUUUGAAACAGCAGGACUUGAGUACGGGAGAGGAAAGGGGAAUUCCUGGUGUAGAGGUGAAAUUCGUAGAUAUCAGGAGGAACACCGGUGGCGAAGGCGCCUUUCUGGACCGAUACUGACGCUGAGGUGCGAAGGCGUGGGUAGCAAACGGGAUUAGAUACCCGGGUAGUC
rnacentral:rRNA from 1 species